AUCAAUUUGCCACAUAAGUGCCACGUCACUGCCACGUCAUAUGAAGACCGAGUCAAAUUAGCCACGUAGGCGCCAUGUCAGCAAAAACCGCCAUCCAAAC
rnacentral:misc_RNA from 1 species